rnacentral:sRNA from 1 species
GCGCGCGCGCGGGCGGGAGCGAAGUGCAACGGGGCGGCGCGGGCGGCCGGGCGCAGGGUCGCGGGAGGUGACGCGCGGCGAGGAUGGCGGCGCGGGGCCGGGGGCUGCUGCUGACGCUGUCAGUGCUGCUGGCGGUGGGCCCCUCCGCAGCUGCGGCCAAGCUCAACAUCCCCAAAGUGCUGCUGCCUUUCACGCGGGCCACGCGCGUUAACUUCACGCUGGAGGCCUCGGAGGGCUGCUACCGCUGGUUGUCCACCCGGCCGGAGGUGGCCAGCAUCGAGCCGCUGGGCCUGGACGAGCAGCAGUGCUCCCAGAAGGCGGUGGUGCAGGCCCGCCUGACUCAGCCUGCCCGCCUCACCAGCAUCAUCUUCGCAGAGGACAUCACCACAGGCCAGGUCCUGCGCUGUGAUGCCAUCGUGGACCUCAUCCAUGACAUCCAGAUCGUCUCUACCACCCGCGAGCUCUACCUGGAGGACUCCCCCCUGGAGCUGAAGAUCCAGGCCCUGGACUCCGAAGGGAACACCUUCAGUACUCUGGCUGGACUGGUCUUCGAGUGGACGAUUGUGAAGGACUCCGAGGCGGACAGGUUCUCAGAUUCCCACAAUGCGCUGCGAAUCCUCACUUUCUUGGAGUCUACGUACAUCCCUCCUUCUUACAUCUCAGAGAUGGAGAAGGCUGCCAAGCAAGGGGACACCAUCCUGGUGUCUGGGAUGAAGACUGGGAGCUCCAAGCUCAAGGCUCGCAUCCAGGAGGCUGUUUACAAGAAUGUACGCCCUGCAGAAGUCAGGCUGCUGAUUUUGGAGAACAUCCUUCUGAACCCGGCCUAUGACAUCUACCUGAUGGUGGGAACCUCCAUUCACUACAAGGUGCAGAAGAUCAGGCAAGGGAAAAUUACAGAACUCUCCAUGCCUUCUGAUCAGUACGAGUUGCAGCUUCAGAACAGCAUCCCGGGCCCCGAAGGAGACCCAGCCCAGCCGGUGGCUGUCUUGGCCCAGGACACGUCGAUGGUCACUGCACUGCAGCUGGGACAGAGCAGCCUCGUCCUUGGCCACAGGAGUAUUCGCAUGCAAGGUGCUUCUAGGUUACCCAACAGCACCAUCUACGUGGUUGAACCUGGAUACCUGGGGUUCACCGUUCACCCUGGUGACAGGUGGGUGCUGGAGACCGGCCGCCUGUAUGAAAUCACCAUAGAAGUUUUUGACAAGUUCAGCAACAAGGUCUAUGUAUCUGACAACAUCCGAAUUGAAACUGUGCUUCCUGCUGAGUUCUUCGAGGUGCUCUCGUCCUCCCAGAAUGGAUCGUACCAUCGCGUCAAGGCACUAAAGAGGGGACAGACAGCCAUUGAUGCGGCCCUCACCUCUGUGGUGGACCAGGAUGGAGGGGUCCACAUACUACAGGUGCCUGUGUGGAACCAGCAGGAGGUGGAAAUUCACAUCCCCAUCACCCUGUAUCCCAGCAUCUUGACAUUUCCGUGGCAACCAAAGACGGGCGCCUAUCAGUACACAAUAAAGGCCCACGGUGGCAGUGGGAACUUCAGCUGGUCUUCAUCAAGCUACCUGGUUGCCACAGUUACUGUCAAGGGCGUGAUGACCACAGGCAGUGACAUCGGGCUCAGUGUGAUCCAGGCACAUGAUGUGCAGAACCCACUCCAUUUCGGUGAGAUGAAGGUAUAUGUGAUCGAGCCCCACAGCAUGGAGUUUGCCCCAUGCCAGGUGGAGGCACGUGUGGGCCAGGCCCUGGAGCUGCCCCUGAGGAUCAGUGGCCUCAUGCCCGGCGGGGCCAGCGAGGUGGUCACCUUGAGCGACUGCUCCCACUUUGACUUGGCUGUCGAGGUGGAGAACCAGGGUGUGUUCCAGCCACUCCCAGGGAGGCUGCUGCCAGGCUCUGAGCACUGCAGCGGCGUCCGGGUAAAGGCCGAGGCCCAGGGCUCUACCACGCUUCUUGUGAGCUACAGACACGGCCACGUCCACCUGAGUGCCAAGAUCACCAUUGCUGCCUACCUGCCCCUCAAGGCUGUGGAUCCCUCCUCUGUUGCCUUGGUAACCCUGGGCUCCUCAAAGGAGAUGCUGUUUGAAGGAGGUCCCAGACCUUGGAUCCUCGAGCCUUCCAAAUUCUUCCAGAACGUCACCGCUGAGGACACUGACAGCAUCGGCCUGGCUCUCUUUGCCCCCCAUUCCUCCCGGAAUUAUCAGCAACACUGGAUCCUUGUUACCUGUCAGGCCUUGGGUGAGCAGGUCAUUGCCCUGUCGGUGGGGAACAAGCCCAGCCUCACCAACCCCUUCCCUGCGGUGGAGCCUGCUGUGGUGAAGUUCGUCUGCGCCCCACCGUCCAGGCUCACCCUCGCGCCUGUCUACACCAGCCCCCAGCUGGACGUGUCCUGUCCGCUGCUGCAGCAGAACAAGCAGGUGGUCCCAGUGUCCAGCCACCGCAACCCCCUGCUGGACCUGGCUGCUUACGACCAGGAGGGCCGCCGGUUCGACAACUUCAGCUCUCUGAGCAUCCAGUGGGAGUCCACCAGGCCACUGUUGGCCAGCAUCGAGCCUGAGCUGCCCAUGCAGCUGGUGUCCCAGGACGAUGAGAGUGGCCAAAAGAAGCUGCAUGGUUUGCAGGCCAUUUUGGUUCACGAGGCAUCAGGAACCACAGCCAUCACUGCCACUGCCACUGGCUACCAGGAGUCCCACCUCAGCUCUGCCAGAACAAAGCAGCCGCAUGACCCUCUGGUGCCUCUGUCAGCCUCCAUAGAGCUCAUCCUGGUGGAGGACGUGAGGGUGAGCCCAGAAGAGGUGACCAUCUACAACCACCCUGGCAUCCAGGCGGAGCUCCGCAUCAGGGAAGGCUCAGGUUACUUCUUCCUCAACACCAGCACCGCAGAUGUUGUCAAGGUGGCCUACCAGGAGGCCAGGGGUGUCGCCAUGGUAAGCUUGGGCCAUCGGUCCCCACUGUUGGUUUUCAUUCCUUAUCUGGGCUGUUGUGUGGUUAACUGAUUGAUUAUUUUGAAAGCUAGUACUUGGCUUACACUCAGAAUCCUAGAACUUUGGGAGGGCGAGGCAGGAAGAUCACUUGAGCCCAGGAGUUCAAGACCAGCCUGGACAAUAUAGUGAGACCCCCCAUCUCCACAAAAAAAAAAAAGAAA